UGGAUCACCUCCUAACAGGGAGACAAUACCUGAUCGUGAUGUCUGAGUACUUUAUUCUCAGGCCAUGAUCCUGUCAUCUCGAAGGUCGAUCGGUACCUCAAUUUCAAUGAUCAGAGAGCUUGCUCUGCUGAGGCAUUGAUCUUUAGUUCCUAAACGUUGUCUAGGUCACCCCAUAGAGGGUUCACCUCCUGGGCCAUUAGCUCAGGUGGUUAGAGCGCACCCCUGAUAAGGGUGAGGUCCCUGGUUCAAGUCCAGGAUGGCCCAUUCAAACUCAGUUUGAUCUCCAAGGCGAUUCAGUCAAUGUCCUAUUGAUUGAGUGUUUGACGAGAUGAGACGGGUCUUGGGGGUUUAGCUCAGUUGGUAGAGCGCCUGCUUUGCAAGCAGGAUGUCAGCGGUUCGAGUCCGCUAACCUCCACUAACAUCUGAACUCCAAACCAGGAAGCGAUUCUUGGGAGGUGACUAGACGUUGUUCGCUGAUCGAGUUCAGCCUCAGUGCAUUCCAAUCUUGGUUGCUCUGAUGCUGGGUUCAACGCCACUGAUCGAGAGGUGAGUGGUGUUUGAGAUUCAGCAGAACCUUGACAACUGCAUAGGUGAGUCUGGAAAGACAAAGCAUCUCAUAGAGGCUGGUUCAGUGAACCAGUGAUUCUAUUUUUGAGAGCCGAGACCUUCUAGCGUUCUUCCCAAUCCGCCGAGGUGCGGGGAGUUUGAUCCCUGUUUCUGUGUUUUCAGCAAUGAGAGCGUAGAAACUUGAGAGAAUAGGCCUCAACAGCCUGAAGCGUUAGGAGGGUUAAUUGGUCAAGCUACAAAGGGCUCACGGUGGAUACCUUGGCACACAGAGGCGAUGAAGG
rnacentral:tRNA from 1 species